rnacentral:SRP_RNA from 8 species
CUCUUAUUUAGACCUAUGCAAUAGGAUUUUAGGGUAACGCUUCAGGGUAGGAAUACAGCAGAGUCCCCUAAUUUCUUGUGUGCCUUAGCCAUCUGAAUAGGAG